GGGAGAUGGAUGAAGAUGAUCAGUUUCCCCAAUGCAGCCUUAUUUCGGAACAAAUCCCUAACGCUCGUCUAUCUCUCUUCUCUGGCCGAUGCCGGAGAACUAGCCUCAUCGACCGCCGAUCUGUAAGCACAGACAGCGCGCCCAACCAUCAGAGGGGAUUUGCCGCUCAAACUUCAUCGGAAGUCACUACUUUUUGUGUGCUCUUCUUUGGAGUCCAUCGUUUCUCUCUCGCCCCACAGCAGCGCCGGCGGUUUACUUGUAACCGUCCUCAUGUAGGCCCAUGCGACACAACAAGGAGAGAUGCUGCUAACCAAUUGAACUCUUAUUUGGGCAAUCCUCGCUUAACAGUGAAAAAACCAGAACCAAGAACAACAUUAUCCAUGCGACUCUGAGUGAAGCUAACACUUCAUCAUAGUUUCUGACGCACUGGAUGAUGUAAGAGGUUAUUGUGGAAAUCUGGCGGAUCUUACUUUUACAUCUGAGAAUGGAUUCUGGUGUCAUUGUUGGGAAUACAAAUUCAGAGCCUCGAGAUGAUAUGGAAUUUGAAUCACAUGAGGCAGCAUAUGCAUUCUAUAAAGAAUAUGCCAAGUCGGUUGGGUUUGGUACUGCAAAGCUCAGCAGCCGUCGUUCAAGAGCAUCCAAGGAAUUUAUUGAUGCAAAAUUUUCAUGCAUCAGAUAUGGAAACAAGCAACAAUCUGAUGAUGCUAUUAACCCACGACCUUCACCAAAGAUAGGUUGCAAAGCAAGCAUGCAUGUCAAGAGAAGGGCCAGUGGAAAGUGGUACAUUCAUAGUUUGAUAAAGGAGCACAAUCAUGAGCUUCUACCAGCCCAAGCACAUUUUUUCCGAAGCCAUAGGAAUGUUGACUUCCUUAAGAAUGAUGCUAAAAUACGAAGAAGGAAGAUCUUGGCGGCUGUAUCCAAACAAUAUGGUGCAUAUCAAUACACUGGUUCUCUAGAGACCUACAUUCGUAGCCAGCAUGAUAGAGGACGCUUUUUGACCUUAGAAGAGGGAGAUGCUCAAUUUUUGCUUGAUUUUUUUGUGCACAUGCAAGAACAGAACCCCAAAUUCUUCUAUGCUGUGGACUUAAAUGAAGAGCAUCGAUUGAGAAAUGUGUUUUGGGUUGAUGCUAAAGGCAUGGAUGAUUAUACUAACUUUGGUGAUGUUGUUUCUUUUGAUACUACCUACUUCAUGAGGAAGUAUAAGAUACCAUUAGUACUAUUUGUUGGUGUGAACCAUCAUAUUCAGCCAACGCUGCUUGGUUCUGCAUUAAUAGCAGAUGAAACAGUAUACACAUUUCUUUGGCUGUUACAAACAUGGUGUUUGUCAAUGGGGGGACGGGCUCCACGAGUGAUAUUAACUGACCAAAGUAAUGCCUUAAAAGCAGCUAUUGGAGUAGUCUUCCCUGAUUCACGUCAUUGUUUCUCUCUCUGGUCUGUACUUGAAAAGAUCCCUCAGCAUCUUGAUUAUUUGAGCAUGUGGCAUGAUAAUUUCAGGGAAAAAUUUAGCAAAUGUAUAUAUAGGUCAUGGACUGAAGAACAAUUUGAGAAGAGAUGGUGGAAAUUGCUCAACAGGUUCAAUCUUAGAGAGGAUGAAUGGGUGCAAUCCUUAUAUGAAGAUCGGAAAUUAUGGGUGCCCACUUUUAUGAGAGAUAUAUCUUUUGCAGGAUUGUCCACAGGCUCACGAUCUGAAUGUUUGAGCUCAUAUUUUGAUAAAUAUGUGCUCGGAGAAACUUGUUUGAGAGACUUCAUUGAGCAAUACAAAGUAAUCCUUGAAGAUAGGUAUGAAGAGGAAGCCAAGGCAGAGUUUGAUGCAUGGCAUGAAGCAUCAGAGUUGAAGUCUCCUUCACCUUUUGAAAAACAAAUGUCACUAAUAUAUACUCAUGAAAUUUUCAAGAAGUUUCAGGUUGAGAUUCUGGGAGCAGCUGCAUGUCAUCUCAAGAAAGAAAAAGAUGGGACCACAAUUAUAUAUGCUGUUAAGGACUUUGAAGAUAAUCAAGAUUUCACUGUGGAAUGGAAUGAAUCAAAACCAGACAUUUAUUGUUCGUGUCGCUUAUUUGAAUAUAAUGGCUAUCUCUGUCGACAUGCUAUUGUGGUUCUGCAGAUGUCUGGAGUUUUCAGUAUCCCAUUUAAAUAUAUUUUGCAAAGAUGGACAAAUGCUGCUACAAGCAAACAUGCUAUCAGUGAGAGAUUGGAUGAAAUUCAGUCCAAGGUCCGUCGUUACAAUGAUCUAUGUCGACGAGCUAUAAUUUUGGGUGAAGAAGGGUCAUUAUCACAAGAGAGUUACAGUAUUGCAGUAAAUGCCAUAAAAGAAGCACUGAAGCAGUGUGCAAGUGUGAAUAAUUCCACUGAGAAUCAUUUGCGACUAAGCACCUCACCUACUCCAAUUUGUGGACCUGAGGAGGGAAAUCACAGUAUUGCCACAUCAUCUAAAGAGCAAGCACCUAAUCUUAAAAUGGCUGUGUCAAACAUAGGUUAUAGGGGAGGUGAAUUUGGGAAAGAAAAAGCAAAUAAUGAUAAUGAUGCAAAUAAACAGAGGAAGGCACCUUCAGAGCCAGGAGCUGUUAACGUUGGGAUACAAGGCAGCUUUCAGCAGAUGGAACUGUCUACCUUGAGGCCUCCACAGUUGCAUGAUUUGGUGCCGGCACAUCUACAUAAUCUGUUUUCAUAAUUAGUGCUUGUGCAAUGAUUCUCUCCAAUCAAAGGAAGAAAUUGAGGUUGAAUGUGAAGAUGUAGCCUUGUUGAAUUUCCUGGAAGAACUUUACGAGUUUGUGCAUCAGAAUUAUGCCAUAUAUGAUUGCGGGGCCUUGUUACUGCUUCUGUUACAUUCACCAUGAAGAAGAUUGCCCUUGCAGUUGGGACAUGUACUAGAAUUGCAUUAAGAUCUACUGGAACGUUUUCCACGCAUUUCCUUGGUGAUUGGAAAGUACACCCCUUCAUCCUUGCAAUCCCAUAUCUUACUCUUAGGAUGGUAUGUGCCGCGUCUCUCAGUUAGGCCUCUUAUGCCUCAUUAUUGUUGAUAUGUAGGGAGCAGCCUCCUAACUUUCUCCAUUUGAUCUCCAAACUCUGAGCUUCUUGUAUUUUAUUUUCCAUCUCUUGGUACAUCUUGAUUUUUUGGGGCUGAACAUUGAUCAAGUUGAUACUGAAUCAUACAGAAAAUCUGAGCAGCAGUUCAUUUUUCA